UCCAGCUCCAAUAGCGUAUAUUAAAGUUGUUGCAGUUAAAAAGCUCGUAGUUGGAUUUCGGAAGGUCCUUAGCAAUCCGCCCCUUCGGGGAGCGGGUUGCUGGCCUCCUAUGUUCCUAACGGCCCUCAUCCGCGAGGGUGGGGAAUCAACCGCUAGGAUCGUUUACUUUGAGGAAAUUAGAGUGUUCAAAGCAGGCGUAACUCGCCUCCGAAUACGUUAGCAUGGGAUAAUGGAAUACGACUUCGGUCUUGUUUCGUUGGUUUCGCUUGGCUGAAGUAAUGAUUGAUAGGGACAGUUGGGGGCAUUAGUAUUUAGUUGUCAGAGGUGAAAUUCUAGGAUUUACUAAAGACUGACCAAUGCGAAAGCAUUUGCCAAGGAUGUUUUCAUUAAUCAAGAACGAAAGUAGGGGGAUCGAAGACGAUCAGAUACCGUCGUAGUCUCUACCGUAAACUAUGCCGACCAGGGAUCCGGAGAGUUUGCAUGGAUGACUCCCCGGGCACCUUGUGAGAAAUCAUAAGUGUUUGGGUUUUGGGGGGAGUAUGGUCGCAAGGCUGAAACUAAAGGAAUGACGAAGGCCCACCCRAGUUC
rnacentral:rRNA from 1 species